GUAUACAGCCAAAUUACCCUAAAGAGCACUGAUUUCAUCUGCUCGCCAAAGCUAAAGUGGGUGGGGCCUGUUUAGUACUUGGAUGGGAGAAAACAUAUAUGAAAAUGUAUAUA
rnacentral:rRNA from 1 species